rnacentral:rRNA from 1 species
CACAAGAGACCCAAAUUAACUGUAGUACGGCGUAAAGAGUGGCACCAUGCUAUCCUACCAACUAAGAUCAAAAUGCAACUAAGCCGUCAUAAGCCAAAGAUGCAUCUAAAACCACCCUCAACACGAUCUUAGCCUCUCCGACUAAUUAAACCCCACGAAAGCUAGGGCACAAACUGGGAUUAGAUACCCCACUAUGCCUAGCCCUAAAUCUUGAUACUUCCUACCACUAAAGUAUCCGCCCGAGAACUACGAGCACAAACGCUUAAAACUCUAAGGACUUGGCGGUGCCCCAGACCCACCUAGAGGAGCCUGUUCUAUAAUCGAUAACCCACGAUACACCCAACCACCCCUUGCCAAAACAGCCUAUAUACCGCCGUCGCCAGCCCACCUCUCCUGAGAGCCCAACAGUGAGCAUAAUAGCCCCACAUCCGCUAGCAAGACAGGUCAAGGUAUAGCCUAUGGGAUGGAAGAAAUGGGCUACAUUUUCUAAGAUAGACAAUUUCACGGAAGGGGACAUGAAACCGUCCCUAAAAGGCGGAUUUAGCAGUAAAGCGGGAUAAUAAAGCCCCCUUUAAACUGGCCCUGAGGCACGUACAUACCGCCCGUCACCCUCCUCACAAGCUACACACACAUAUAACUAAUACGUCCCCCACCAGCUGAAGACGAGGUAAGUCGUAACAA